AUGAACGCUGGCGGCGUGCCUCAUACCUGCAAGUCGCGCGAACAGACGAGGAGCUUGCUCCUCUGACGUUAGCGGCGGACGGGUGAGUAACACGUGGAUAACCUACCUAUAAGACUGGGAUAACUUCGGGAAACCGGAGCUAAUACCGGAUAAUAUAUUUAACCGCAUGGUUCAAUAGUGAAAGACGGUUUUGCUGUCACUUAUAGAUGGAUCCGCGCCGCAUUAGCUAGUUGGUAAGGUAACGGCUUACCAAGGCAACGAUGCGUAGCCGACCUGAGAGGGUGAUCGGCCACACUGGAACUGAGACACGGUCCAGACUCCUACGGGAGGCAGCAGUAGGGAAUCUUCCGCAAUGGGCGAAAGCCUGACGGAGCAACGCCGCGUGAGUGAUGAAGGUCUUCGGAUCGUAAAACUCUGUUAUUAGGGAAGAACAAAUGUGUAAGUAACUAUGCACGUCUUGACGGUACCUAAUCAGAAAGCCACGGCUAACUACGUG
rnacentral:rRNA from 1 species